CAUUCCGGCCGAACAUUUGUGCUUCCCGCCGUGGAAGGUUCUGAGUGCGAUCACUUGAUUUAGUCCCAAUGGUUAGCAUAGAACGUUGUAGUCUUGACAACCAUAACAAACCACCUGGCAGUUAGUUGGACGGGAGUCCCCUGAGGGGAUCUGGCGGAACGUUCUGGAUUGUAUUUGCGUAACCUCGAGCCGUUGCCAACGGAAACAAUUUUCAGGCGGUUUCCAUUGGGAAUUGUUGCCCCCUAUCUUAAACAACUUAAGUUAGAUAUUAAAUACAUACUGACACGUACGUCGUACAAUAUAUUAAUUUCCGAUGGUUGCGCCGUACUUUUAACCACGAUGACGUGACGGGACUCUCACUGCGUACAAAACAGCGUUCUACUUGCGGGCCCAUUUUUGACAUCAGGGAAGGCUGAAAAUCAUUUCAAGGUAGAAGAUAAUUUGACAUUUCUUCAACGGAACCCAGCACCUGAAUAUGGCUGAGUAUAUUUGAUUCAAUAUCGAUACUGCUUAGUGUUCUUUGUUACUUCAACUUUUGUACGUUCUAAAUAUCUGCUGUCAUUAAUUGCCACAGAAGUUAAACCCUACCCAAUGGAAUGACGUUAAACGACUCUGGUAUAGCUUUACCAACUGGAUAAUAUCAAAGCUAAAAUAAUGGCCGUCAUUCCCACAUGUUACAGUAGAAGAUACUCUAGAACUGUACAAGGUUAAAAAGGUAACAUGUAGUUUGUCCCAAGGUGUCUGCCUCCUCACCCAGAGCAAGACCUCCACCUCCUCCCCCAGAGCCAGACCUCCACUUCCUGUCAGAAGUCCUCCAGAACAGCUGAAAGGCGAGGCUGAGAGGCUGGGGACCGGAGGCUUGUGGUGCCAGGGUGGACCGGAGACUGGGGCUGGAGACCAGGAGCCUGCAGCACCGGACCAGAGGACCAGGAAUCCAUGGCUGAAGGAGCUGAUGGAGGUGCCGUGCUGAAGGAGAUGAUGGAGGUGCCGUGCUGAAAGAGCUGAUGGAGGAGCCGUGCUGAAAGAGCUGAUGGAGGAGCCGUGCUGAAGGCCCUGGGCUGGUGGAGGAGCUGGUGGAGGCCCUGCCUGGUGAAGGACGUCUGUCGUGGGACCAGGACUUUGUCUGAGGAGAGCUGAUGGAGGAGCUGAGACGCUGGACGACAACUAGGAAUUGAC